rnacentral:ncRNA from 1 species
GCCGCGAGCCGUGACUGGCGCUUCGCAGGUGGAUCCGACCACCGGGGAGCGGCUCGCGCACCACCGCCGCGCGCCUGGGCUCACCGA